AGUGUACUGAUUUAAUCCUUAUGCCUAGAAUGAUUAUUAUAUCUGACAAUCAUUUAAGAGGCUGAAUAAUUCUGGAGUAAAGGCAUUAUGUCAAACUAAUACAUUUACAUCUCUCAUCCCAAUGCUGGUAAGAUUGCGUACAUUGCAAGCCUAGAAAAAAUGGUAUCGAUCGAUGGGGGGAUCGAGAUACGCAAAAUAUCCCUAAUGAACUAGAGAUCGAAGAUAAAUGUUAAUGAAAUAUACACGCCGUCUAAGUAGCAUAGACAGCAAAGCACGGCAACGGGAAGCGUCGUGCUGCAAACUGUAGCGAAGCGAAGCACAGUAUCAAACCGUAUGCACUAUGAAACUUUCAGCAUCUAUAUCUAGUUAACCUUUGACCUUUAACCCGUAGUUCAUUAGGGAUAUUUUCCAUACCUCGAUCCCCAUAUCGAUCGAUACCAUUUUUUCCGGGCUUUGCAAUGUAUGCAAUCCUAUCGAAUCUCUGGAUCGAACUCAGAACGGUAGUCAUGAUAAUUUGCUCUAUCGCUUCAGAAAGCAAACAAUUUAUAUUUCAGCUACAGAAGGCGACAGUAGGCGAUGCUACGCGGCGCUACAAUAAACACAUGGGACGCGUUGAGGUUAUGUCCUUUGGGCUGUUUCUGUCGCUUGUAGUAUCGUAUCGUAAAGCGUCGCGUCGCUUGCACUAGAGACACUGCCUAAAGCUUAAACUGAUUUUGCUAGAUGACAAUUGAACUGUAUGUAUAAUCAUAAGCGAAGAGAUAGCACAAAUAUACGGUUUGUAACACCGAAUAUUCAUGUUGUUUACAUUCAAAAUGCAUACAACGUUCAUUAUUUACAUUCCGUGUGCCUGCCACGUUAAUUGUUAAUGCUAUGCAUGGACGACUGGUAGUACUCAAACUAGAUUCUUGUUGUGGAAAAAAUAAUUUGCAUUGAUUAAAUGGGAGUUUAAUGCCAUCUGCAUUUUAUAUAUAAUAUGUUGAUACUGCAAAACUUGUUCUGAUAAAUUUUAUUAUGUAAGAGUAUCCUACAAUUUGUUAUUGCAUAAUUCCUUACAUUUUAUAUUUCAUUAAAAAUAUUAUAUACUUUUUCCUCAAGGC
rnacentral:lncRNA from 1 species